rnacentral:rRNA from 1 species
UACGGAAGGCAGCAGUGGGGAAUAUUGCACAAUGGGCGCAAGCCUGAUGCAGCCAUGCCGCGUGUAUGAAAAAGGCCUUCGGGUUGUAAAGUACUUUCAGUCGUGAGGAAGGUGUUAAGGUUAAUAACCUUAGCAAUUGACGUUAGCGACAGAAGAAGCACCGGCUAACUCCGUGCCAGCAGCCGCGGUAAUACGGAGGGUGCGAGCGUUAAUCGGAAUUACUGGGCGUAAAGGGCACGCAGGCGGUUAAUUAAGUUGGAUGUGAAAUCCCCGGGCUUAACCUGGGAAUGGCAUUCAAGACUGGUUAGCUAGAGUCUUGUAGAGGGGGUAGAAUUCCAUGUGUAGCGGUGAAAUGCGUAGAGAUGUGGAGGAAUACCGGUGGCGAAGGCGGCCCCCUGGACAAAGGGACCUGACGCGUCAUGUGCGAAAGCGUGGGGAGCAAACAGGGAUUAGAUACC